ACGGGGUGCAGCAGGCGCGAAAACUCCGCAAUACACGAAAGUGUGACGGGGGAACCCCGAGUGCACUCACGCAAGUGAGCGCUUUUGUGAAGUGUAAAUAGCUUCAUGAAUAAGAGCUGGGUAAGACCGGUGCCAGCCGCCGCGGUAACACCGGCAGCUCGAGUGGUGAUCGCUAUUAUUGGGCCUAAAGCGUCCGUAGCCGGUUUGGUAAGUCCUUGGGCAAAUCCUGUCGCUUAACGGCAGGAAUUCUGAGGAUACUGUCAGACUUGAGGCCGAGAGAGGUCGGAGGUACUUCUGGGGUAGCGGUGAAAUGCUAUAAUCCUAGAGGGACCACCGGUGGCGAAAGCGUCCGACUAGAGCGGGCCUGACGGUAAGGGACGAAAGCCAGGGGAGCGAACGGGAUUAGAUACCCCGGUAGUCCUGGCCGUAAACGCUGUGGGCUAGGUGUUGCAUGCUCUACGAGGGCGUGCAGUGCCGAAGAGAAGUUGAUAAGCCUACCGCCUGGAAGUACUAUCGCAAGAU
rnacentral:rRNA from 1 species